UACGUAUGGGGCAAGCGUUGUCCGGAAUUAUUGGGCGUAAAGGGUACGUAGGCGGUUUAUCAAGUCUAUAUUAAAAGGCAAUGGCUUAACCAUUGUAUGGUAUAGAAACUGGUAAACUUGAGUAGAUGAGGGGAAAGUGGAAUUCCUAGUGUAGCGGUGAAAUGCGUAGAUAUUAGGAGGAAUACCGGUGGCGAAGGCGACUUUCUGGAAUCUUACUGACGCUGAGGUACGAAAGCGUGGGGAGCAAACAGG
rnacentral:rRNA from 2 species